rnacentral:rRNA from 1 species
GACGAACGCUGGCGGCGUGCUUAACACAUGCAAGUCGAACGGUGAAGCGCCUUCCUUUUUGGUGGGUGUGGAUGAGUGGCGAACGGGUGAGUAACACGUGAGUAACCUGCCCCCUUCUUCUGGAUAACCGCAUGAAAGUGUGGCUAAUACGGGAUAUUCUGGGUCUGUCGCAUGAUGGGUCUGGGAAAGAUAUUGUUUCGGUGGGGGAUGGGCUCGCGGCCUAUCAGCUUGUUGGUGGGGUGAUGGCCUACCAAGGCGGUGACGGGUAGCCGGCCUGAGAGGGUGGACGGUCACACUGGGACUGAGACACGGCCCAGACUCCUACGGGAGGCAGCAGUGGUGAAUAUUGCACAAUGGGCGCAAGCCUGAUGCAGCGACGCCGCGUGAGGGAUGGAGGCCUUCGGGUUGUGAACCUCUUUCGCCAGUGAAGCAGGCCUGCCUCGUUUGUGGGUGGGUUGACGGUAGCUGGAGAAGAAGCGCCGGCUAACUACGUG